rnacentral:rRNA from 1 species
UGUGUAGGCGGUUGGAUAAGUGUGGCGUGAAAUCUCCCGGCUCAACUGGGAGGGUGCGCUACAAACUGUCUGACUAGAGUGCGGGAUGGGAAAGUGGAAUUCCUGGUGUAGCGGUGAAAUGCGUAGAUAUCAGGAGGAACACCGGUGGUGUAGACGGCUUUCUGGACCGUAACUGACGCUGAGACACGAAAGCGUGGGUAGCAAACAGGAUUAGAUACCCUGGUAGUCCACGCCCUAAACGAUGCAUAUUUGGUGUGGGUCAUUCAUUUGAUCCGUGCCGGAGCUAACGCAUUAAAUAUGCCGCCUGGGGAGUACAGUCGCAAGGCUGAA